AUGAUCGGGAAUUAUUGGUGGGGCUCUGAGAAUGGCAAAAGGAAGACACAUUGGAAAUCUUGGAGCCAUAUCACAAAACCGAAGGGCCAAGGUGGUAUCAGCUUCAGGGAUUUUAGGGUCUUCAAUCAAGCGUUGCUCGCUCGAUAAGCGUGGCGUCUUUUGACGAUACCAGAUAGCUUAUGUGCCCGUGUUUUGAAAGCUCGGUACUAGCCUAAUGGAAGGCUUGAGGAUACUGUUUUUGCAGGCAAUGCAUCACCCACCUGGCAGGCUAUUCAACAUGGUCUUGAGCUCCUCAAGAUGUGCCUUAUUUGGUGCAUUGGCAAUGGCGAACAAGUCAGGAUAUGGAGGAUCAGUGGAUCCCUCACCCUUUCUCAGUAA
rnacentral:rRNA from 1 species